GUGGAUUGACUACGUUAAACUACAUAGAGCUUGCUUAAUUGUAUCAGAAGUGCAAGGAUGAAGAGUAUGAAAGUUCAUAGAGAGCUGUAGGAGUGUGCAAGUUGUACAGAUGCAGAUUUGGCAUUGGUUUGUAAUGAACGAGUACUGUUAUUGCUAUCAUAUAGCUCAGUUAAGACAGUGGUAUGGAAUAGAGGAAAUGAAGCUGGCUGGUGCUGAGAUUUGUACUCAGUUGGUGUUGGUUGCAGUUGCAGGACAUGGGUUCCGAUGGAAUUGAUAUGUGGUUUUAGAUAACUUCAUAAAAGCUAAUUGCUUAAACGUGG